ACCCAAUCAGAACAUGUAGUCCAGAAACCAUGCCGUAACCCCAUGUGCAUGUUGAGGAGGCCUCACGCCACUUUAGGCUCACCAGUAUCUCCCACCGAGCUACUCUGUUUCCGGCUUAGAGGACCAGGAGAAGGGGGAGCUGGAGGCUACAGCCUGUAACACCGUGGCUCGUCUCGCUCUGGGUGGUGGUGGCAACAAUGCAGUGGAGCUGGAGUGUUAGGAGUGCAGCCUGAGCGGUUUUUCUGGCAUUGUCUGCCCAGCUGCUCCAAGCCAGGCUGAUGAAGGAGGAGUCCCCUGUGGUGAGCUGGAGGUUGUAGCCUGAAGAUGGCACAGCUCUGUAAUUCAUCUCCUGUGGUUGUGGCAGCCAUGGUGAUGGAGAGAGCAGCUCAUCAGGAGCGGCACAAAAGGCAGUCUCAGCAUCUCUAUAGCAGGAGCCACUCUCUAAGAGUCUCUCCAGAGAAAUAAGCUUCCCAGACCAUCCAGCUGCUGGAUUUUCCCUCAGAACUUUGAAGACCAUAGUCAAUUGGAUUAUUGAUCUUAUUCACAUAUUGAGAAAUAGGUUUGUUUUCAUUGCUUUAUAAUUAAUUUGAAUUUUAUCUUAGUUGGCUUUAUGUGAUUUUCUCUAUUUUGGUAUUAUGCUUUUAACUAUUGUUUUUCUUUUGAUAAGAAUGCCUUUAAGCUGUUAUAAUUAAUUAUUUUAAUAAUCAUAUAUUUUUAUUCCCUAUUUGACAUUCACUCCAUUUUAUUUAUUUAAACUUGUACUUAAACAACUUCCCUUGUUCUGGAUUUUUAUGUAUUUUAAUUUUUCAUAUUGUGUAUUUGUUUUAUCCCUAUUGGGACUUCUAAAUAUUCACUUCAUCCUACCAUCUAAUUCAUAAUUUCUUUCAUUUAUGUAAUUUUUCUAUUUAUUCUAUGCUGUACAUUUAAAAUUUUUAUGUAAUUACUUUGAUAAUAUAUUUUGAUCUUACCUUUAAAUUUUUCCUCUAAUAUAUUUAAACAUUAUAACUACUUAUAUUAUUUCUACACUAUAUAUACAAUUUGGGGAUUUAUUAAGAUCUAAUGGUUCAGCCUUGUUUUGAUUAUUGUUUUGUUUCUGAAUAACUUUGGUCUUGACGACUUUUACUUUGUAUAUUUUAAAUAGAAUAGUAGAUUUCAUUUUAUUGUAAAUGACUGACCUCAAAUGAUGGGGUCAUUGAAGAUUCUGGGUUGAGGUAUUUUUUUCUGUGAAAAGUUAUCUGUAAUGUGAACAAUGCUCCCUUUACAGACACCUGAAAAUGAUUAAGUCAAUGUAUUUACCUAAAUUGUCCUGAUUAAAACACAGGGCGUACAUAUGAACCAGAAACUAAUAUGAGGAUUGUUGUUAAUUCCCAAAUCAACCAAAAAGGAGAAAUAUCACCUCCACUAACUACUCUAACCUAUUUUUUCUAAACUUUUGAAAAUGUAAGGAUUCUAGCUUUAGAUAGCAUCAUCAGAUCCAAAUACUCCUGCAUCUAUGCUGCUGUGACAUUAUAUUCACCAAUCAGACAUGUUCAAUUCUAACAACCUGUACUUCCAUUAUCAGCAAUUCCUACAGGUAGCAUCAACUUCCAGUGUAAUUUUUAUUCUACAGCUGUGCUUUUUUAGUUCUUUCCUGAAAAAUUAUUUGUGAAGGUACAUGCCUUUGAAGUUUCUCAGCAUAUAUGGUUUUUUGAGGUUGAAAAGAUAAGAUUAUCUAAAUUUUUGCCAGAAAUUCUGAUAUCCAGUGAGACAGUGCCCCAUGUUUCUGCUGAUCCAUCUGACCCUUUCCUGGUGCUUUUCCACGAGGGAAAAAUGGAACAAUGAGGAGUCGGUGCUUGAUCUGAUGUUGCCUGUUGCUUACCACAAUCACAGAAAGGAAUACAAAAAGGCUCAACUAUUACUUUGAUGUGGGUCUCUUGCUUUAAUUUAAAACUCUGAUAUCAAGCAGUUUAGCUCUUCCCAGCUUAGCUCUUGAAAUUUCAAGGAAGAAAUUCUGUUUAUAUUUGUCUAAAUUUUGUGUCAUUUAUACAGAAAAAAUGGUAAUAAAGUUGCAUCAUAUAUUUAAAAAUUGAAUGCCUUCUGUUUUGCCAUUUUACUGAAGAGAAAAUUUGUGUAGCCUAUUGGAAUUAUUAACAGUGAAGCUCCAAGUACUAAUAUUCAGAAAAAUUAAAGAAUCAAACUCCAACUAUUUCUCAAUAGCGUUUCUUUUCUUAUAAACUUUCUAUUUUAUUAUCUGUAAUUUAAAAACUUCCAUAGAAAAGAGUUUAAAAUUUUCAAAGGUAAUACAAAAUUAUUUUUAGAAUUUCUUUUUGAAUAACCAUUUGUUGUAAGUAGCUAAUAUUAAUAAAUUGUAAUCAUCAACUAUUAUCUAAGCUGUACAUUAAAAAAUGUGUUAAUACUUGCAGCUGCAUAAAAUAUAAUGCAGAUUUACAUAAUCUAAGUUACUAAAAAUAAUAUAAUUUUGCAUAGUAAUAUACACAUAAAUAAUCAACAUACACAAGUCUUUUUUUUUCUAUUGCUUACUUACAUUUUCUGUUUGAUAUGUGUAUCAGAAUGAAGUGUUUAUGUCCUAUUGUCGUAAAUGGAAAUUUGCCUAUUUUGCAUUUUUUUAUAUUAAAUAAUCAGACAUGCUUAGUUUCCCCUAGGUUAAAUUUUUUACAUAAUUGUUAUUAACAUAAACAAUCCAGAAAUUAUUUAAAGUUUUUAAAAAACUUUCCAUUGCCUUCACUGUGCAUAAUAUAAUUCUGUUUGUCAAAGUGUUAGUGUUGUUUGCAUUAUGUAAAAUAACAUUAUAGUGAUAUCAACCAACU